CACAAGCGGUGGAGCAUGUGGAAUAAUUNGAAGCAACGCGCAGAACCUUACCAACCCUUGACAUCCUCAGNUACAUCCAGAGAUGGAUGGUUCCCUUCGGGGACUGAGUGACAGGUGCUGCAUGGCUGUCGUCAGCUCGUGUCGUGAGAUGUUCGGUUAAGUCCGGCAACGAGCGCAACCCNCAUCCCUAGUUGCCAGCAGUUCGGCUGGGCACUNUANNGAAACUGCCCGUGAUAAGCGGGAGGAAGGNGUGGAUGACGUCAAGUCCUCAUGGCCCUUACGGGUUGGGCUACACACGUGUUACAAUGGUGGUGACAGUGGGUUAAUCCCAAAAAGCCAUNUCAGUUCGGANU
rnacentral:rRNA from 1 species